rnacentral:rRNA from 1 species
GGUUAAGCGACUAAGCGUACACGGUGGAUGCCCUGGCAGUCAGAGGCGAUGAAGGACGUGCUAAUCUGCGAUAAGCGUCGGUAAGGUGAUAUGAACCGUUAUAACCGGCGAUUUCCGAAUGGGGAAACCCAGUGUGAUUCGUCACACUAUCAUUAACUGAAUCCAUAGGUUAAUGAGGCGAACCGGGGGAACUGAAACAUCUAAGUACCCCGAGGAAAAGAAAUCAACCGAGAUUCCCCCAGUAGCGGCGAGCGAACGGGGAGGAGCCCAGAGCCUGAAUCAGUGUGUGUGUUAGUGGAAGCGUCUGGAAAGGCGCGCGAUACAGGGUGACAGCCCCGUACACAAAAAUGCACAUGCUGUGAGCUCGAUGAGUAGGGCGGGACACGUGGUAUCCUGUCUGAAUAUGGGGGGACCAUCCUCCAAGGCUAAAUACUCCUGACUGACCGAUAGUGAACCAGUACCGUGAGGGAAAGGCGAAAAGAACCCCGGCGAGGGGAGUGAAAAAGAACCUGAAACCGUGUACGUACAAGCAGUGGGAGCCUCUUUAUGGGGUGACUGCGUACCUUUUGUAUAAUGGGUCAGCGACUUAUAUUCUGUAGCAAGGUUAACCGAAUAGGGGAGCCGAAGGGAAACCGAGUCUUAACUGGGCGUUAAGUUGCAGGGUAUAGACCCGAAACCCGGUGAUCUAGCCAUGGGCAGGUUGAAGGUUGGGUAACACUAACUGGAGGACCGAACCGACUAAUGUUGAAAAAUUAGCGGAUGACUUGUGGCUGGGGGUGAAAGGCCAAUCAAACCGGGAGAUAGCUGGUUCUCCCCGAAAGCUAUUUAGGUAGCGCCUCGUGAACUCAUCUCCGGGGGUAGAGCACUGUUUCGGCAAGGGGGUCAUCCCGACUUACCAACCCGAUGCAAACUGCGAAUACCGGAGAAUGUUAUCACGGGAGACACACGGCGGGUGCUAACGUCCGUCGUGAAGAGGGAAACAACCCAGACCGCCAGCUAAGGUCCCAAAGUCAUGGUUAAGUGGGAAACGAUGUGGGAAGGCCCAGACAGCCAGGAUGUUGGCUUAGAAGCAGCCAUCAUUUAAAGAAAGCGUAAUAGCUCACUGGUCGAGUCGGCCUGCGCGGAAGAUGUAACGGGGCUAAACCAUGCACCGAAGCUGCGGCAGCGACGCUUAUGCGUUGUUGGGUAGGGGAGCGUUCUGUAAGCCUGUGAAGGUGUGCUGUGAGGCAUGCUGGAGGUAUCAGAAGUGCGAAUGCUGACAUAAGUAACGAUAAAGCGGGUGAAAAGCCCGCUCGCCGGAAGACCAAGGGUUCCUGUCCAACGUUAAUCGGGGCAGGGUGAGUCGACCCCUAAGGCGAGGCCGAAAGGCGUAGUCGAUGGGAAACAGGUUAAUAUUCCUGUACUUGGUGUUACUGCGAAGGGGGGACGGAGAAGGCUAUGUUGGCCGGGCGACGGUUGUCCCGGUUUAAGCGUGUAGGCUGGUUUUCCAGGCAAAUCCGGAAAAUCAAGGCUGAGGCGUGAUGACGAGGCACUACGGUGCUGAAGCAACAAAUGCCCUGCUUCCAGGAAAAGCCUCUAAGCAUCAGGUAACAUCAAAUCGUACCCCAAACCGACACAGGUGGUCAGGUAGAGAAUACCAAGGCGCUUGAGAGAACUCGGGUGAAGGAACUAGGCAAAAUGGUGCCGUAACUUCGGGAGAAGGCACGCUGAUAUGUAGGUGAAGUCCCUCGCGGAUGGAGCUGAAAUCAGUCGAAGAUACCAGCUGGCUGCAACUGUUUAUUAAAAACACAGCACUGUGCAAACACGAAAGUGGACGUAUACGGUGUGACGCCUGCCCGGUGCCGGAAGGUUAAUUGAUGGGGUCAGCGCAAGCGAAGCUCUUGAUCGAAGCCCCGGUAAACGGCGGCCGUAACUAUAACGGUCCUAAGGUAGCGAAAUUCCUUGUCGGGUAAGUUCCGACCUGCACGAAUGGCGUAAUGAUGGCCAGGCUGUCUCCACCCGAGACUCAGUGAAAUUGAACUCGCUGUGAAGAUGCAGUGUACCCGCGGCAAGACGGAAAGACCCCGUGAACCUUUACUAUAGCUUGACACUGAACAUUGAGCCUUGAUGUGUAGGAUAGGUGGGAGGCUUAGAAGUGUGGACGCCAGUCUGCAUGGAGCCGACCUUGAAAUACCACCCUUUAAUGUUUGAUGUUCUAACGUUGACCCGUAAUCCGGGUUGC